rnacentral:rRNA from 1 species
UACGUAGGGUGCAAGCGUUAAUCGGAAUUACUGGGCGUAAAGCGUGCGCAGGCGGUUUUGUAAGUCUGACGUGAAAUCCCCGGGCUCAACCUGGGAAUUGCGUUGGAGACUGCAAGGCUAGAAUCUGGCAGAGGGGGGUAGAAUUCCACGUGUAGCAGUGAAAUGCGUAGAGAUGUGGAGAAACACCGAUGGCGAAGGCAGCCCCCUGGGUCAAGAUUGACGCUCAUGCACGAAAGCGUGGGGAGCAAACAGG